GUCGAUGCACUACCCAGAAAUGGAAAUAUAUAGAACCACUUGAAAAAGAACUAUCAGUUGCUCUUCAUUGAUAGUGUUAUUUCAGUGCUCUCCAUAUUCAUGCAUGCAGGUAUUAAUUGUAACACAUGUUCAGUAACUUCAUAUGACCUUGCCAGUUUAGCUACGGUUACUUUUUAAAGUAAAUUGAAGUUAAAAUUCAAUCUAAGGAGAUUUUCCAAUGACUGAGCAGGAUUGUCAACUCUUAUGGGAUUGGGCAGCGAACAUCUUACUCAAUGUAUUUUCUCAUGUUGAGAAGAGCCUUCCUCUGGACUUAGUGCUGCUGCAGUCAGUGGGACUACUCAUGAUAUAUGGGACUGCUUAAUGUGCACAAAUAUAUGUAACAGAAAUUCUACUAUGUACACCAAGACUGCUGACAUUUCAUAGCGCUGCUUCAAAGUUCUGGUUAACAGCAAUAUCUACAACAAAGUUAAAAAGAACUGCCACAAAAACAUGUCCUUCUGACAACUGUUGGAUUUCCCUCUAAAAUUACUUUUAUUUGAGAUUUGGAUGACCAGUAGACCUGGAUCGGUGAAAGGUUUACGGUGCUUCCUGAUGUUUUGCGAGAUAUUGCAUCUCAGCACUGUUGCUUCAGACAGGUCUAGUGCUGAGCUCAGGCCCUGGUCUCUGGAUACUUCCUCCUGCAAGCAAGUGGGUAGGAAAUAACUUAAGACACAUGGGAGACAAAAGACUGCAUCCUUUCAAGGGUUGCAGAAAUUUACUCUUCCCACAGUUGAGGAUUCACCCUACAAAUGAGGCCAAGAUGGGACCGAUAACACUGACUGAUGAGGCACUGGACUGGGUCUCGCCGUUGGUCAAGCAAAACAUUCUAACACUGCCGGAUUAGAACACCUUCCUUUGGGCUUUUUCGUGCCCCUCCCCUCCGUCCCCCACUUACAUGGUUCUGCAGGGGAGCUGUCUGGCCCGGAGCAAGGAGGAAGGCAAGAUGGCCACUGGCUGCUGGCAGCCUGUUAGGAGAGGCAAAGCCUAGCCUCUCCUGUUCUUAAAGGGGCCAUCUUAUUUUUGCUUAAUAACU